CGUCCCGAGCAGCAGCAGCAGCAGCAGCGGCAGCAGCGGCCGCAUGGCCCGCGGAGGGGGCGGCCGGCGGCGCCCCGAGCUGAGCAUGGGCCGCUCCGCCCGGCCGCCCCCUUUAUAGCGGCCCCGGCGGGGGAAGGAAGCGCCCGCGGGGCCGGGAGGGACUGCGGCGGUGAAUCCCGGCCGGGCGCUGCCCCCGCCCCCGCCCCGCGGCCCCGCGUCCCCUCCCGCAUCCUCCGGCGGCUCCGCCCCGGCGGGGCCCGCCCGACAGCGCGGGGGGGCGGCAGCGGCGGGGGACCCGCGGGAGCCGGGGAAAACAGGACACCUCCGAAUGGAUAUCCCAUUCCAUCAGUUUGUCCUUGGGGGAUCCCCCUGUGCUGCCAGAACAGAGCCAGGAGCAACCUAAAAAUGCAACCGAAAUGUCCCAGGCUUCUCCACUGCAUAAAAAGGGGAUUUGAGGCUGUUUUUUCAUGGAAUUCCAACAGCCCCGGGCACUGCAACUGGCCUUUGGGAUGAGCAGCAAAUCCCAAUUUCCUCGGAUCAUGGCAAGGAGGUUUCUUUAUUAAAUUUUAGUGAAC